GUUCAGGAGUGAGCGUGUCGGGCUCGGAGACGGCGGCAAGUCCCCCUGACCGGGGCCUGUCCGUAGCGGGUGCGAGGCCCAUAGCCGCCGCUUCCGUCUCGAAUGCGAUCUCCUUGGAGUCGGGUUGCUUGGGAGUGCAGCCCCAAUCGGGUGGUAAACUCCACCUAAGGCUAAAUACCGCCGUGAGACCGAUAGCAAACAAGUACCGUGAGGGAAAGUUGCAAAGAACUUUGAAGAGAGAGUUCAAGAGUACGUGAAACUGCUCAGAGGUAAACGGGUGGGCCCUCGAAAUCCUGUGGCGAGAGGAUUCAGUCUGCGUCGGCGGACGUACGGGAGGAAAAUCCGAGCAGGGMUUCCGCGCACGCGGGCCGUCCUCCCGUUCUGCCCUCUUUCGGCSCAGACGCAUUUGUCUCUCGUCCCGAGGACGCUGCAGCCGGUCCGGAAGUGCAAGCGCGACGGCCUGAAGGUCGGGAGAUGGCAGGUGGCCGGUGGCUSGCCUCGUGCGGGUCAUCGGUUGUUAGCCGUCCCGUCAGUGGCCCGUCUCCGAACCGUGGUGUCGCGAGUCCCUUCGGGGACUCCUCGUCUCCUACCCCAGAGUCGUGGGACAGGGCCCGGCCAGGGUUCUCCGCGUCGACCGCCGCACUUYCACGGAGUGGACGGACGAGCUGGAGACCCGCACCGCCGGGACGGAUCCGCGGGGGACUGGAGGCUGGCAGCGAGUAGGUCGGUCACCCACCCGACCCGUCUUGAAACACGGACC
rnacentral:rRNA from 1 species